ensembl:snRNA U6 U6 spliceosomal RNA
GUGCACUUUGAUGGCACAUACAUGAAAAUGGCAAUGAGACAGAAGAUUAACAUGGUCCCUGUGCAAAGAUGAAAUGCAAAAUCAUAAAGUGUUCCAGAAUUUU